rnacentral:rRNA from 1 species
UACGGAGGAUCCAAGCGUUAUCCGGAAUCAUUGGGUUUAAAGGGUCCGUAGGCGGUUUAAUAAGUCAGUGGUGAAAGCCCAUCGCUCAACGGUGGAACGGCCAUUGAUACUGUUAGACUUGAAUUAUUAGGAAGUAACUAGAAUAUGUAGUGUAGCGGUGAAAUGCUUAGAGAUUACAUGGAAUACCAAUUGCGAAGGCAGGUUUACUACUAAUGGAUUGACGCUGAUGGACGAAAGCGUGGGUAGCGAACAGG